CUCUCACUGUCUCAGGGAAGGUCCUGGUCCCAGGGCAGGCAGCCCAAGCCUCUUCUAAAAUGAGUGCAUUGCUUUGUCUAUUUUAAUGAUGGAGUUUUUUCCCUAGGGUUAAGGGAGACACUGUGGGGAAGUAGACUACUGUGGCAUACACUAGGUGCUUAAUAAAAGCCAGCAUGUGGGUCCCAGUGCUGUACACUUCUCCAAGCCACCUCCCUCCACUGUUCCUGAUAGAGGCUCCAAGCUCAUGUCUCUCCUUCCUCACCUGGGACCUGGGCCUCCCAAUGCCCCGAGCUCUCUGCUGGGCGCUUGCACUGCUGGAUUCCUGCUCUGUGCCCAACUGCUUGGUGGCACCACAUGUGGGUCCUACCUCCAGGGGGCUCUCGGCUGGACACAUAGGGAAGACAGAACAGCCUUGAGCAGGCUUCCCCCACAGUGGCUACCGUCUCUUCCUUGCUGCCCCAUGAUUUUGGCUGCCUUCUGCACUCAUACUGCUGUAGGAGUGGGAGAGCAGUGGGACUUGAACUCAGGACUUCAUGCACACUAGACAAAUACUCUGCCAUGGAGCACUCCCCAAACCUUUAAAAUGUUUUUUUGUUUUGAUUCAGGUUCACACUAAGUUGCUCAGGGUGGCCUCAAACUUUUGUUCCUAGCCUCUGGAGUAGGUGGGAUUACAAGUGUGUGCCACUGUGCCCAGAUCUGUGUAACAUUUUGUACUCAAUGAAUGACCUUGUAGCUUAGAUUUUUCAAGACGUCUCAGCUUACUGUAGUUGCGAACAUUGGGCUCUCAUUGAGGAAUACUCCCUGGUCAGUGCAGGACUGAGCUGGAACCCUGAGUGGCCCUGUCCUCAGUGAUUCCUGAGAUCACCCAAAUCACUUGUCCAGGUCACACAGCCUGUGGGAAGAGGAGCAGGGAUCCCGCAGCAUCAGUGUAGCCUGGACUUGCUUUCUGGGUGGGUGGUGCUACUGCCCC
rnacentral:lncRNA from 1 species